UGGUGGUGGUGGAGGCGGAGGAGGAGGAGGAGACGAAAGUGGAGGAAGAGGUUGUGGUGCUGGAGCAGAGAUUGAAGACAAAUCCCCGGAAGAAACUAAGGCAGCAGGAUGAUGAUGUUCAGUAGACGAAAUGAUAUUAGUAUUGGCCUCUCUAUAUUUGUAUUUGAUUAUCUCAGCUCUUACUGAAUUAAUUUCUGCUUGCAAAGAUUGAAUUUGUUGUUGUAAAACUGAAAUUGCACCCAUGCAGCCAUAUACUGGAUCUCUUAGCCUCAAAUUUGCUUCAAAGACUAGACUGUUCGCUGUAUCAGCUCUUUGGCUUUCAGGUACCUCCAUUAGCAUCUUGGAGACAUUGCUUGCGCCAAAGACUUUGUGAACAGCUGCAAAUUUCUGGGGUUCAUGAGGAGAGAAAUAUGGAGAGAAAGGACACUCUUCAGCACACCUUCUCCUCAAUAACUUGCAAGCAGCACAAGGUGUAACAGUGUUUAAAAUCCCAGGAAUCAAUAUAUGUCUCCUUCCCAUUUGGGAAGAUAAAUCAGUAUCUCUUCUGAUCUUCUUUCCUAUUUCAUCAAAUCUAUCCCUG
rnacentral:misc_RNA from 1 species